rnacentral:tRNA from 1 species
GCCGGAUUAGCUCAACUAGUAGAGCGGCUGUUUUGUAAACAGCGGGUUAUCGGUUCGAGUCCCUCAUCCGGCA